UUGGGUUAAUCAGGAGGAUGAGGAAGAGGAAACCGCUAUGUCAAACGUUUGGUAUGAAAUAUUGUCGGUUUUGCAUCUAAUGGCAAUGCUACAAAUGUCACAAGCCAAUUUACUGCUUCUUCCCAGAGGUUCCAGUGAUGGUUAUCAUCCAAAAGUAUCAGAAGAAAACAGGCGAGCUUCAAUUGAUAUCUUCUUAAAGGCAGCUGGAUACCUUGACUGUGCUGUUAAGCAUGUUUUCCCUCAGUUUUCAGCUGAG